rnacentral:rRNA from 1 species
CAAUAGCGUAUAUUAACGUUGUUGCAGUUAAAAAGCUCGUAGUUGGAUUUCUGGAGGGAGCGUCGGCCCGUAUUUACGAGUGCGUGACGUCUCUGUCCAUCCUUGCGGGAAGGCACGGCAUUGAUUUGUUGUGUCGGAUCGCAUCAUUUACUGUGAAAAAAUUAGAGUGUUCAAAGCAGGCUUUCGCUUGAAUACAUUAGCAUGGAAUAAUAAGAUAGGACUUGGGUGCUAUUUUGUUGGUUGAGCCUAAAGUAAUGAUUAAUAGGGAUAGUUGGGGGCACCUGUAUUGCGUUGUCAGAGGUGAAAUUCUUGGAUUUACGCAAGACAAACAGCUGCGAAAGCGUCUGCCAAGGAUGUUUUCAUUAA